GUGCUUGCUUCACCAGCACAUAUACUAAAAUGAGAACGAUACAGAGAUUCGCAUAGCCUCUACGCAAGGAUGACACGCAAAUUCAUGAAGCAUUCCAUAUUUUU